CCCACUACUGCUCGUCUCAAACCUUCCAAAUUGCUCCCCAAAUCGAACCCUAAGCAAAUCAAAUCUCACCCCGAGGCCCCCUUCCCCUUCCUCGGCGGCGCCGCCGCCCAGCCACCUGACAUGAGCGCCCUAGCAACCUCCUCAUCCACCGGCGAGCACCCUUCGCCGCUUCCUCCUCGACCUCUGCCACAUCGAGCGUCGGCUUCCUUCCCCGACCCAUGUCGCCGCUCCCAGACAACCUCCGCCGCGCCCCCAACGCUGCCUCCCGACACUUUCUCUCCGGGCAGCACCGCGGCCAGCUCCCCCGCCAUCGUCUACUUGCUCGCUUCCUCAAGCAGCGCCGACUCAUCCAGGAGCUCCUCCCGUCAGCAGCACCGCCUCCUCUAGGAGCCUCCUCUACGAACCAGUCCUCCAAAUUGCAUGCAUCUUCUUUGUCCUCUCCACCAAGCAGUGUCGACUACGCCAUCUUCCCCCAGAAAAAGCUUUAUGAACUGAGUUCACUACAACUUGAAGUCUUGUGCAUGGAAGGGAAUUGAGAUAUUUUCCCAUUCUGUACUAGUUAAAAUGUUCAUCUUUACCUGAAAUCUAAUUUGCAUGUUGGUUGGUGUUCUUCAAGAAUCAGGGUACUAAUUUGUGAUAUGAUUGGUGAAAGAGGUUGUGGAUGUCACUUCCUUUUUCUUGAACGGUGUCCCUAUUUUGUCCUAUGUACAGACAAAUUUGAUGAUUCUUCACUUUCUGGAAAGUAAACUUAAUACCAGAGGUUGAAAAUGUUCCUGCAAGACUGGUUAAGACACCUUGCUGUAACCAUAUGUGUUGAGCUCACACAGAAGACCUGACAAGCUUUACUCUUUGUGUUUGUUACAUUUUGUACUGCUCGGAUGUCUAGGAACUGAAAAUGCUAAAUUAUGAGGAAGUCUUCAGGUGUACUCAAUUAAUUGUAUACAUUGUAAAAUGUUUGAUGAUGAGAUUUUACAAUAUAUCUGUGAAGUGCA